UUUUCCUAUAUUGUCCUUAGUAUUAAUUAGUAUAUCCUUCCAAAACUCAAUCUUCACAAAGUUCUUCUCUUUUUGUUGCAAUGGCUGCUAUCAAUGAAGUGAUUGUGGCCAUGGUGCCAUUCCCUGAUUACAGCCAUCUCAAUCAGCUCUUCGUUCUUGCUCGUUUCAUCGUGUCCCAUAAUAUACAAGUACACUUCCUCUGUUUUGCUGAUGUGAACAGAGAUUUGAAACUUCGAAUUCAAGAUGAUGUAGGGGUCUCAAACAUCCAUUUCGAAAACCUUUUGAGACCUUCUUCUCCAACAGAAAAAGAUGUUCGCGAUGGAGAGCCUCCGAUUCUAAUGUUUCUGGAAAAACUAACAAAGCCCAUUAAUGAAAUAUGUGUUCAACUCUCUACUAAGGCAAGAAAAUUAGUCAUAAUUCAUGACCUUAUAAUGAGUGAACAAAUAUUGGAAGUAAAUGCAUUGUUGAAUGUCAAAUCUUAUAUGUUCCACUACAUUAUCACAAGAGCAAGUCAAUGAGCUUGCUUUGGGUUUAGAACAAAGCAACCAUAAAUUUAUUUGGGUACUAAGAAAAGGAGAUAGUGCAGAGAAACUUAAAGAAAAAGACGUAAAGAUUGAAUUACCCGAAGGGUUUGAAGAGAGAGUGGAAGGAAGAGGAAUAAUGGUUAAUUGGGCACCACAGUUGGAAAUCUUGGGGCAUUCAUCUACGGGUGGGUUUAUGAGUCACUGUGGAUGGAAUUCUUGUAUCGAGAGCAUUAGCAUGGGAGUACCUAUAGCAACAUGGCCAAUCCAUGUCGAUCAGCCAUUUAACGCUAUACUUGUAAACAAUUUGUUGAAGAUUGGAAUCUAUGUCAAGCGUUGGUCUCACCGGGAUGAAUUGAUAAAAGCAUCAACCAUUGAGAAAUCUGUCAAGACAUUGAUGGGUACCAUAGAAGGGGAAGAAAUGAGGCAAAGGGCAGUGGAAUUAAGCAAAAAGAUCAAAAACUCUGUUAGCCGCGGAGGACUUGCACGCAAGGCAAUGGAAUCUUUCAUAUCACAUAUUAUUGAAUAACUUCACCGUUGAAAUUUGCUUUUAGUUACUGCAUUCGCAAAAUAAGUUGUUUAGUUUGAGAUGAAUUUGAAUUUUAGUUAAGUUGUUUGAGUUGUUGAGUUUCAAAUUAUGAAG